CCAAAUACAUAAGGAAAUAUGAAAAUGGAGAGUUAAUUGAAUCCCUAUGAGACUAUAUCCCAUUUUGUUGGAAAAUCAAAGCAUCAGCGUGGAUGAGUUGGUGUUCUGGAUUUUGUGUGCUCAAAGUAAUAGCUACCUAAUGCUUUAAGGACUUAAUAUCAAGUAAGCGUUUUAAAGAUAAAUGGUAAAACUGAACUGGAAAUCCAUCUGGCCGGCUGCCUGCUCUAAUGAAUAACCCCACUUUGGCUCGUGCAAUGACGUCUUCCCUUUGGAAAGCAGUACAGUGACAGUGUCAAGGGUGCCUGUGUGUUUGCGGCAUGUUCCUUCCAGAAGCAGCUGUAAGUGCCACCUCCAGGCCAUCUGGCCAAUGUGAGAAAAGGUGGCUGCAAUGGCUUGGCAAAAAACAACUUUCUGGUCCUCUGGUGUCCCCUGAUAACUGAUUUAAACGUAUGUCCAAGGACUUCCUUAUUGCUAUCCGUGGUUGUCAAAAAUUUAUAAGCAUAUUCAUUUCUCUGUUCAACUUAAUUGGUAUUUUGGAUUUGACACUAGGAAAGCAAGUUUGACUUGCAUGUUAAGAGUCCAAGGAUAUCACCCACAAAAUUCUAGACAAUAAGAAAGGGUAAGUGUCUGAGGGGAGAGGGCACUUACAAGUUAUUCCAUUGAAUCCUAAUUUGAGGCUUCCAAAUUCAUUUUGGGGCAAUCAAAGAGAAAGAACUCUAAGCAUGGCUUUUUAAAACACUAUAAAAAGGAUUCCUGGUAUAAUAGAGCUCUCUAAUUUGAUUGAAGAGCACAUAGACUUCUAGAACAAUUUGUAUUUUUGAUGCUUAAAAAAAAAUCUUUUUUUUUCUGUGAUGUGGUCUUUUAAACUCAUAGCAUACCUUAUAGCUCCCUCUACUUCCUAUAUUUUAAUUGAUCUUGAGGUUAUUUUCCUGUCACUGGGCUUAAUGAACAAGUAUUUUAGAAUUUCUUCCUGUAUAUAUCUUCAUUCCUAUCUCAAUAAAAUGUCUAAUCAAGAAUUCACUUGUAGAAAAUAAAAUAUAGAAGCACAUAGCCUUAAAGUGAAGUUACUUGUUUCUGUUAUUUUAUAAAAUCCAUGGACCUCAAGUUUGAGUAUCAUUAUUAUAAAAAACAUAGCCACUCAAGCCAUGCGUGACACACUCGCUCAUUAACUGUGCAGCUUUUCCUACAGAAUAUGGGAAUAUGGGGCAAAGGCCAUGUGAUAAGAUGCAGGCUUCUUGUCAAUGGACCCAAAUUAAAAUACUAGCUUUUCCUAUUUUUAAGUUGGGUUACUUUGUCCAUUACAUGGGGUUACUCUUGCCCAACUAGCAUGGUUGACAUCAUCUCACCAAAAAUCAAUAAAUGUAUGGGUGCUCAAGAAA